GCCACUGUUCCCGUCCAGGUGGAUGAACACACACGCUCAUACAUGGAAGCCACUGAGAAUCUUAGACACACACACAAACGUGAAGUUAAACCCUAAAGGCACACACAAACUUGAAUUCUAAAGAGUCACACAUGCACACGUGCAUGCACACAAAUACACACACAUACGCACGCACGCACUCACACACACAAACACAUCGUAAGGGCACACACCAACAGAUACACACAAAUGUGACCGGAUUCAGGAAGGUGGGCGUUUGGCGCUAGUUCCUACAUCACAGUAGGGAAAAUUUAGAAAAAAAGCUGUUGUAUAGCACACUGUAUUACUUAUACAACUAAUAUAUGGACAGGAAAUUAGACGGGAGUAGAAAUUAACGUAGGCAUUGUUUAAUGCAUUUCACAGGAAGAAUGUUCCAAGCAUUUCAGUGUAGGUAAGCAAGGGGGGUUACAGGUGCACUAAAGGGACAAAACUAGAUCAAUACACAACAUAUUCCUCCCCCUUUUGAUGACUCAGAAGGAAAAAGGAAAUAUUCACUGUUUUGCCUCGUGUUUUCUUUUUAAUAAUAAUAAGUUCUCUUAAUGUAAAUAAAUGAACUUUUCAGAAUAACCUUUACUGAACUAGGGAAAUUGGGUAGACUGCCUCAGUUCCCAGACUUAACCCUGGGGUGUAUUCUGCCACAAUGUCGGGGGUAGUCUGAACUAAAUAGUCAACCUGUCAGGGGGUCGUCUUUCUCUUGCAGGGUAAUGACGACAUACAGGUGAGUUUACAGUCACACUGUCUCUGAGUCUGAGUGGUGAUGGUGUAUGCCCAGACUGGGGUGUAACAGUCCCCUGAGUAGGCACUCUGGCUGGUUCAGGUGAGUCUGGAGCACCUUCCACAUUUGUGUGUUGCUGCAGUGGAUGCUCAGGUGAUGGCUCAUAGUCAUGGUAGGUCUCCAGUUGCUGAUCUUGGUUUGUCAUUUGACAGGAGUCUUCUCUGAGGUUGGUUCCUGGCAACAGUUGAUCCACGUGUCUCCACCAGAUUAUGUUUUCCAGUGUGUGAACUGUGUAGGACACAGGCCCUGUUUGUGCAGCCACUGUGGCUGGUAUCCACUUUGGACCUUUGCAGUAGUUCCGAGCAAAGACUCUCUCCAGCUAUGAAGCUUCUGUCUCUUGCUUUGCUCCGUCUCUCCACCUGUGCUCUCUGUUGAGUCUGUAAAAUCGAAUUAGUCUUUGGAGGUCUCAGGAGGUCGAGUAGCGUGCGAAGCUGUAUUUUCAUCAUGGCUGACGCGGGUGCCACUUUGGUUGUAGCGUGGGGAGUGUUUCUGUAGGUUAACAGGAAGGUGUUUUUAGGCGCUUAUUGAGGGAGCCGUUCCCUUGUGAUGAUUUUAAAGUUUGCUUCAUCGUUUGGACAAACCUUUCAGCGAGGCCGUUCGUUGGAGGGUGAUACGGCGCUGACUUGAUGUACUGAAUUCUAUUUGCUUCCAUGAAUGAACAGAACUCUUCAGACACCAGUUGGUGGCCAUUAUUGCUAAUGAGUUGCGUUGGCAAGCCGAAGUGACUGAAGAUUGACCGUAGCUCUUCGAUGGUUCUCUCCGCUGAGGUGCUCUUCAUCACUGUGACCGCCGGCCAUUUGCUGUGUGCGUCAACUACGACUAAGAACAUACGGUCAUCCAGUGGGCCUUCAUAGUCUAUGUGGACUCGUUGCCAAGGCUCCUCUGGGAAGUCCCAUGGUUGUAGUGGUACUAGCUGAGGCAUGUUCCUCAUCUUUUGACAUGCAGAACAUGACUUGACCUUGUCUUCGAUAGCUACGUCCAAACUUGGCCACCAAAAGUAGCUGGGUGCAAUCUUCUUCAUUCGCACCAUGCCACAGUGCCCUGAAUGGAGUUCUUUAAGCACUUGCCUCAAUGGUGGCGGUAUGAUGACUCGAGAACCCCAUAGCAAGCAUCCAAACUGAACUGUGAGCUCGUUUCUCCUCACUAGGUAAGGUUGUAGGUUGUCUGACAGCACUCCUUUUCCACGAGUGACCAUGUCCAGGACCUCAGACAUCACUGGAUCAGUGCGGGAAUACCUUUUCAUUUGGACAGAAGUAACUGGGGCGUCCGUCACUUCCUUGAAGUAGAAGAUUUCAGCCUGGGAGUGCUCAGUGUGUGUGACAGCUGGCUGCAAGCAACGGAAUGUCGGUGUGGGACCAAAGAUGGAGGUGAGGUGUUUAUGGUCCGUCAGCAGUGUGAAUCGUCGGCCAAACAGAAACGGAUGAAAUUUCUUAACUCCAAACACAAUGGAUGGCCACCCUGCUCAGCAAGUUCAGGAUAGACUUCUCCGACAUCAACGUACUAGGAGACAUCAACACCAAGCCCAAGAAAGAGAAUAAGGUGUUGUUUUUUGGACCUGGGAACUGAAGAGGCUACUGGAUUCCAUGUCUUGUACCGAUGAGUGUCUGAACUGUGUGCUAACUGCUUGAACAGACAGUUCGGUACCUUCAAAACAUCAGUACCUUGCACAAAGAACAAUAGUUAUGCAGUCAAUCUUUCCUCAACUUGAGCCAGGAGAGACUGACAUUUUCCCUCCAUCUACAUCUAAGUGUAAUAUGUGCUGCUCUGUUCUGGACCAACUGCAGGUGCUUUUCUUUCAAAAACAAGGACAUUUCUAAGUGACCCCAAACUUUUGAAAGGUAGUGCACAUAUUUCCUAUCUCCUUGUUUUGUCCAGUUGGAUCCUCUCUCCUCCCUUCAUAAGCUGAUUGCUGCGAUAAACAUUCAUUGCUGUCGGUGGGUUUGAUGUGAAUAUAACUCACUGAUCACUGAAUGAACACUGCGGUUCAAACACCUCGAGGACCAAUCAAUGAAGAGGACUCUAACGUGGAGGUUCAAUGUAUAGCCAAUCAGGGACAGAGGAGUAGUAACCACACUGCUUCGUGAGCUUAUGUCAAGGGUUUGCUCCUUAAAAAUACAGGCCUACUCUAAUACCCUACAUAACCUUGUCCUUAAGGGGCUCCUUUUAAACUACAAUGAAUUAGUUAGACUCCGGUACUAUGUCCAUUGAAACAGAGAUCAAAUGGUCCCUUAAUUUGAUCUAUUUGUAGGAUAGAAAACUGUUCGGUAGUUUAUUUUGCACAGAAUGAAUUGACAGAUAUUGAAUUUGGCCUGUCUAAAAUAUUGGUGCCUCUGUAGUUGAAUGAGUGUACCAAUAUCCCGGGCCAAUAUUUGAUGCAAUAUUUAAUUGAGCAUCCGCUUGAGCAACCUUUAUUUGUUGUUGCCAGUCAGUCUGCUAAAUGUAACCACGCUGGGAAUCAACAUUUUUCCACAUUCACAUUUAUUUUGUUUGGUAAAAAAAAAAAAUGUAAUAAUCAUUUCCAGUGGAAAGCAACAGCGGCGUUGUCUGGGAGCCCCCAAAUGGAAACCAGACCCAUACGGGGCCCUAGUAACACAGACACACAUGCGCACACACACACACAAACACAUACUGUACACACACACACACACACAUAUACGGUAGACACAAACACAUAUACACACACCCAAAGGGGCCUCAUUUCGUCUUUAAUCCAAGCUAACGCAGCCUACUGCUUCACACAAACUCACUACCCCCCCAUCCCCCAUCUCCCUCUUUUGUGGAUUAAUUUGGGGGGGGGUCAUUAAAAAACGAAAAAGACGAAGGCCGAUUUUGAUUGGAUAUUUUGUUAUUUUCUCGUUUACUUUUUGGGUAAAUAGGUCUAGCUACAGGCAUAGGACAUCCCUCGAUAGCCAGUUACAUCCAUUCAAGACGCUAAAUGUAUAUCCAAUCAAAAAUUAGACUCCGAAUAUCAAACCCCAAGGUAUGUCUGGUACCUUUCCUAACCCUCACAGAUAGCCAAACUCCUCCAUCCCCUGUGCCCACUCUCUUUCCAAUGAGAGAAUGUAGACUCCCAUCCUUCCAAGCCCCCAAUGUAGCCAAUUCCCACAGACAUUUUGACGGCAGGCAGCACAACAUUAUUCUCCCACCAUAGAGUCUAUAUCAGGCCCGAAACUUCCCACCUCCCCCUCAAUUCCCCCUUACUCCAGAUCUGUCUACAGUACAGCCUGGUUUACAUUAGAUGUGUGUAGCUCUGGGGGCUAUGAGAGAUACAGGAGUGGGACAGCAGGCCUUCUCAGGACACUAAGGUCUGACUCCUUUAUAAUAGAGUCCAGAGUACAGAGACAUAUAGAUAGGGUUAGCACACACACUUCCUGUUGAAUGAGUGAAUGAAGGGAUGUGGGAAUAAGGGAGAAAUAAGUGAAGAGAGAGACAGAUUUUUCAAUGCGUUAUCUAAAUGCAGUCAAUUGUUUCACUGGAGAAAAAUACACAAUUUCAAAACGGAUUGGACAAUGCAAUUGGGCAUUCGACUAAGUAGAUGUGAAUUAACAUCUACUGCUUGACAUAAUCUUAUUAGCUUUUGUUUAGCUUUAUUAUAUUGUCUAUCCUAUGUAGUCUCACUAAAUCAAGACACUCAUGGGUUCAUUUGGAAUAAAUAAAAUAUAUAUUUGAUUGGACUCUAUUUGUGUCUUCUGAUGCUUUCAUUGGCCUGAGCUUCUGAAAUGUGUGUUUUACACAAAGUGUAACUGUUCCAUAUUACCCAGUCCACAACAUGACUGCACUGGUUUUUUGGGGGGAUUUCUGAGACGAUAAAAUCUCUGCAUUUUAAAAUUUCAAACAGUCAAUUGUAUCUCAUGGCGAAAUGCAUAGCACAUAAAAUAAAAAAGGUUUGACCAGAUAUUGUUUAUCUUGAUCAGACAGGUUUACAUGGACGAUAUAUUGGAGAUAAUAUACAACAAUUACUUGAACCAUUUGAACAUUAUGAAACAUCGAAGAUACCAGGCCUGGUCUUCAUAGCAGAUUUUGAAAAAGCGUUUGGUAAAGCACGACUCAAAUUUAUAUAUAUAUGCCGGGAUUACUUUAAUUUCGGUGAAUCUCUUAUAAAAUGGGUUAAAGUUAUGUACAGGAACCCCAGAUGUAAAAUGGUAAACAAUGGGUACUUCUCAGAAAGUAUUCAGUGUUAAAGAGGAGAAAAACAAGUCUGUCUGUUGGAUCCAUAUCUAUUUAUUAUGGCCAUUGAAACGUUAGCAAUUAAAAACAAGUGUCAAUGAAUGCCGGUCUCAUUGAAGAUCUUGAUCACUUUUCUAGCCUCUCUGGACUAAAACCUAAUUAUGACAAGUGUACCAUAUUACACAUUGGAUCGUUAAAAAAUACAGUGUUUACAUUACCUUGUAGUUUACCAAAAUAUAAAUGAACUGACCACAAUUAGUUUCAGUAGAAAGUUAGCAAAAAUAGAUAAGAUUCUGCAACCAUGGAGAGGUAAAUACUUGUCUAUUUAUGGAAAAAUCACAUUGAUUAACUCUUCGGUCCAAUCACAGUUUACUUACUUACUAAUGGCACUACUCCAGAUUACUUGUUUUUUAAAUCAUACGAGCAAAAAAGAUUUCAUUUUAUUUGGAAUGCAAAACCAGACAAAAUUAAACGUGCCUAUUUAUGUAAUGAAAAUACGUUUGGGGGAUAAAAUUAUUAAAUAUUAAAGCUUUAAAUCUCUCACUAAAAGCUUCACUCAUUAAUACAGUUGAAGUCGU